AACGUGGUCAAUAUUACAGUCAAUCCUAGCAUUUUCAGACGUUUUGGACGCGUUCCAGGUGUCAGAAUUGGCAUAGGUAAACCCGAACUCCAAGUUGCUCAUUUUCGGCUAAUAUCGAUUUAGAAUAAAAUUCAUAAAAUAUUCGUGGAUUAUCGAAAAAUUAUAAUUCCUUUUGCAAUAGUCAUAUAAUAUUAUUAAGGACCGCGGGGCAAAAUUUUAGAAUUUUUAGAGCUUGUUUGAGUGGAUUUUUGAUAAAUGUCAAUUAUAGGGACUAAAACGUAAUUUUUAAGAUUUUGAGUAUUGUCUGAUUUGGAGGGCCCAGGAGGGGCCAUGUGAUAUUGAUGAGAUGUGGUUGUGGAAAUUGAGAAUUUAGAAGUGUUAUUUGAGCCUUUUUGCAGGUUGGGUAGGUCCCAGGUAUAGGGGAAACUCUGCCGGAUUUCCGGCAUGGAUUAGGCUGUCUAUUGCCUCUUUAGAAUUUUAUCUUAACUUAGUACUAAUAAAUUUAUAAUUUAAUUAUUAGGUGAUCGAGGUCAGCUAUUUUUCUGCAUCCAGCAGCCACAAUAGUCAUCGGUGUACUGCCACAGGAGGAGUUAUUUUACAGAGCAACCUGUUUUCUUCCUCGCAGGUUUAACGUCGAUUAUUUAAUUGUUUUACUGUCUUUUCAAAAUUAAAAAUCUAGAACUCCGCAUGUGUUAGAAUUAGUGUGGACCUUGGUAGAGGUUGUGUUAAUUUAAAUUUUUUUGAUUAAUAAAUGAAGAUUUGUAUGGUA